rnacentral:lncRNA from 1 species
CUCUGAGGGGCUGAUGAGAGAAGGGAUGGAAAACAAACUGAAACUGGCUCAAGUGAAGGCUCACUGGAAGGCUUACUGGAAAACUUACUGGAAGGAUGUGAGGAGAUGUUCGGGAAUCUAUUUGCAGAAAACAUGUUCAGUUGGCAAUGCAAGAUGUUCAGGAUAUGAAACUUUCACCGACCCUUACAUUCCAUACUCCUCGCCAAUGUGUUAUGUCAGAAAUUCUGACAUUCCAAAUUCAUAUUGGUCUUUAUUUUCCUAACUGUUGAAGCAGAAGAUAGAACAGCAAUGCACCCAAGAGUCUGGUAAGCUCAAAUAUGUGGAUUUUCUGAGUCUUCAGAUAAACAAUGUAGAAAAUAAAUUAAAU